UACGUAGGGUGCAGGCGUUAAUCGGAAUUACUGGGCGUAAAGCGUGCGCAGGCGGUUUGCUAAGACAGGUGUGAAAUCCCCGGGCUCAACCUGGGAACUGCGUUUGUGACUGUAUGACUAGAGUACGGUAGAGAGGGGUGGAAUUCCUGGUGUAGCAGUGAAAUGCGUAGAUAUCAGGAGGAACAUCGAUGGCGAAGGCAGCCCCUUGGACCUGUACUGACGCUCAUGCACGAAAGCGUGGGGAGCAAACAGG
rnacentral:rRNA from 1 species